CUUUGGGAGCUUGCUCCCGAAGGUUAGCGGCGGACGGGUGAGUAACACGUGGGCAACCUGCCUAUAAGACUGGGAUAACUUCGGGAAACCGGAGCUAAUACCGGAUAAUUCUUUUCUACACAUGUAGAAAAGCUAAAAGACGGUUUACGCUGUCACUUAUAGAUGGGCCCGCGGCGCAUUAGCUAGUUGGUGAGGUAACGGCUCACCAAGGCCACGAUGCGUAGCCGACCUGAGAGGGUGAUCGGCCACACUGGGACUGAGACACGGCCCAGACUCCUACGGGAGGCAGCAGUGGGGAAUUGUUCGCAAUGGGCGCAAGCCUGACGACGCAACGCCGCGUGAGUGAUGAAGGUUUUCGGA
rnacentral:rRNA from 1 species